GCUCCCGUAGCUCAAUGGAUAGAGCAGGACCCUUCUAAGGUCAAGGUUGCAGGUUCAACUCCUGCCGGGGGCG
rnacentral:tRNA from 1 species